CCUACGGGGGGCAGCAGUGGGGAAUAUUGCACAAUGGGGGGAACCCUGAUGCAGCGACGCCGCGUGAGUGAAGAAGUAUUUCGGUAUGUAAAGCUCUAUCAGCAGGGAAGAAAAUGACGGUACCUGACUAAGAAGCCCCGGCUAACUACGUGCCAGCAGCCGCGGGAAUACGUAGGGGGCAAGCGUUAUCCGGAUUUACUGGGUGUAAAGGGAGCGCAGACGGCUGUGCAAGUCUGGAGUGAAAGGCGGGGGCCCAACCCCCGGACUGCUCUGGAAACUGGAAAGCUGGAGUGCAGGAGAGGUAAGCGGAAUGCGUAGUGUAGCGGUGAAAUGCGUAGAUAUUAGGAGGAACACCAGUGGCGAAGGCGGCUUACUGGACUGCAACUGACGUUGAGGCUCGAAAGCGUGGGGAGCAAACAGGAUUAGAUACCCGAGUAGUC
rnacentral:rRNA from 1 species